CAGUCGCCGCGGUAAUACGUAGGGUGCGAGCGUUAAUCGGAAUUACUGGGCGUAAAGCGUGCGCAGGCGGUUAUAUAUGACAGAUGUGAAAUCCCCGGGCUCAACCUGGGGCCUGCAUUUGUGACUGUAUAGCUAGAGUACGGUAGAGGGGGAUGGAAUUCCGCGUGUAGCAGUGAAAUGCGUAGAUAUGCGGAAGAACACCGGUGGCGAAGGCGGCGACCUGGUCCAUUACUGACGCUGAGGUGCGAAAGCGUGGGGAGCAAACAGGAUUAGAUACCCGUGUAGUCCCUGUCUCUUAUAC
rnacentral:rRNA from 1 species